GACGAACGCUGGCGGCGUGCUUAACACAUGCAAGUCGAACGGAAAGGCCCUGCUUUUGUUGCGUGCUCGAGUGGCGGACGGGUGAGUAACACGUGAGUAACCUUCCCUUUACUUUGGAAUAACUUCAGGAAACUCGGGCUCAUACCGGAUAGCCGCUCCUGCUGCAGGGUGGGGGUAGGAAAGUUUGGGCGGUUGGGGAUGGACGCGGGGCUUAUCAGCUUGUUGGUGGGGUAGUGGCUUACCAAGGCUUUGAGGGGUAGCCGGCCUGAGAGGGGGACCGGCCCAAUGGGGCGGGAGGUAGGGCCAAGAUCCGAAGGGGAGGCAGAGGGGGGAAAAAUGGAACAAGGGCGGAAGGCUGGUGGAAGCACGCCGGGGGGGGGAAUACCGGCUUCGGGGUGGAAAACGGCUUCAGCAGGUGAGAAGCUGGUGGUGACGGUAACUGGAAAAGAAGCACCGGCUAACUACGUG
rnacentral:rRNA from 1 species